GUGGCUGAACGGUCAUCCCGAGAGCUGAAAAGCGGAAGGUCGCCGGUUCGACCCCGGCCCUGGCCA
rnacentral:tRNA from 1 species